UAGGGAAUCUUCGGCAAUGGGGGGAACCCUGACCGAGCAACGCCGCGUGAGUGAAGAAGGUUUUCGGAUCGUAAAGCUCUGUUGUUAAGGAAGAACGAGUGUGAGAAUGGAAAGUUUAUACUGUGACGGUACUUAACCAGAAAGGGACGGCUAACUACGUGCCAGCAGCCGCGGUAAUACGUAGGUCCCGAGCGUUGUCCGGAUUUAUUGGGCGUAAAGCGAGCGCAGGCGGUUAGAUAAGUCUGAAGUUAAAGGCAGUGGCUCAACCAUUGUAGGCUUUGGAAACUGUUUAACUUGAGUGCAGAAGGGGAGAGUGGAAUUCCAUGUGUAGCGGUGAAAUGCGUAGAUAUAUGGAGGAACACCGGUGGCGAAAGCGGCUCUCUGGUCUGUAACUGACGCUGAGGCUCGGAAGCGUAGGGAGCGAACAGG
rnacentral:rRNA from 1 species